UACGAAGGGGGCUAGCGUUGUUCGGAAUUACUGGGCGUAAAGCGCACGUAGGCGGACAUUUAAGUCAGGGGUGAAAUCCCGGAGCUCAACUCCGGAACUGCCUUUGAUACUGGGUGUCUUGAGUAUGGAAGAGGUUAGUGGAAUUGCGAGUGUAGAGGUGAAAUUCGUAGAUAUUCGCAGGAACACCAGUGGCGAAGGCGGCUAACUGGUCCAUAACUGACGCUGAGGUGCGAAAGCGUGGGGAGCAAACAGG
rnacentral:rRNA from 1 species